rnacentral:rRNA from 1 species
GGGGAGUACGGCGCGGCCUAUCAGCUUGUUGGUGGGGUAAUGGCCUACCAAGGCGACGACGGGUAGCCGGCCUGAGAGGGCGACCGGCCACACUGGGGCUGAGACACGGCCCAGACUCCUACGGGAGGCAGCAGUGGGGAAUAUUGCACAAUGGGCGGAAGCCUGAUGCAGCGACGCCGCGUGAGGGAUGACGGCCUUCGGGUUGUAAACCUCUUUCAGCAGGGACGAAGCGAAAGUGACGGUACCUGCAGAAGAAGCGCCGGCCAACUACGUGCCAGCAGCCGCGGUAAGACGUAGGGCGCGAGCGUUGUCCGGAUUUAUUGGGCGUAAAGAGCUCGUAGGCGGCUUGUCGCGUCGACUGUGAAAACCCGCGGCUCAACUGCGGGCCUGCAGUCGAUACGGGCAGGCUAGAGUUCGGUAGGGGAGACUGGAAUUCCUGGUGUAGCGGUGAAAUGCGCAGAUAUCAGGAGGAACACCGGUGGCGAAGGCGGGUCUCUGGGCCGAUACUGACGCUGAGGAGCGAAAGCGUGGGGAGCGAACAGGAUUAGAUACCCUGGUAGUCCACGCUGUAAACGUUGGGCGCUAGGUGUGGGGGACCUCUCCGGUUCUCUGUGCCGCAGCUAACGCAUUAAGCGCCCCGCCUGGGGAGUACGG